ensembl:lncRNA
CUAUCCUUCCUUUUUUUGUGUGAUGUUUCUGUUGCUGACACCAAGAUGGUGUGUGGCUGAGUGCUGGGUGACUACAUUAGGGAUGCAGUCCAUGACAUGCUGUGACGUUUUAAAAGGGUUUUUUCUCGAUGUUCACUCCCGGCUUAGCCCCUGUGCAGCAGUUCCUUCAUCAGGUGCCUGUUAACUGCGAUGGGGGACAGCUCAGAGACCAUCAGUGAAACAAUAGCAGGAAAUGGAAUAAGGAGGAGAAGGCCACUUCUUUCCUCAUCCCUGGGAAAACUAUUGGAUUUCUCCCUGUCUAGUUUAUGUGAGGGUCAGAUUUGCUACUCAAAAGGCUGCUUUUGGCUUAACUGGAAUGCUGCAUACUCCUGCCAUAGGCAUCUUCUGCAGUGGAUGUUUAGUCAAGCCUAUGACAGACAAACUCCAUAUGUUAAGAUGUUUUUCCAAAGGCUAUUUUAGCAGUGUGUGCUGCUUUCUUUAGCUGUCAUAGUGCAAUAAGAAGACAUAUUGUAAUUUAAUUCUGAGGUCUUGCUCCUGCCUUUGGAGGGAGCUGAAGUAUGCAGAGAAAUUGGGAAGGGAAUAUACUUUUUGCAUUUUUGUAUUCAGGAGGAGAAUCUUGAUUUAUGCCACUCAUCUCUAAGCACUGUCCUUAAACAGGGAAAAACGUUGCUUAGUCUCAGUUGUUCUUUUUGUCACCCACACUAAAAAGUUAAACAAGAUGCCUGGAAUUAAGGAAUGCUUAUAACUACCUCAUUUUCUUUCUUUUUCAAGAUAUGAAAUCUGAUUUGAAAUUAGAAAAUAUGCUAGAACUCUGUUCUAAGACUAAAUGGAAAUGAACUGUUAUGAUAGUGAUUUUUUUCAUACCAAAUUCUAUUAUUCAGUAGUAGCAUCUGGAAUAAAAUAUAUGCCCCAAUUAAAAUGUAGAAUUCCUGAUCAUGGUGGAAAUUGAAGGUUCUGGGCUGUACUUUGAUACAUUUGCUUGUAGGCCUUUUCUGCCACAUGCACAGCAGAUUGCUUUAUUGUUAGCAAGUUGUGUCUGCAAUCAAACACGUGAUCACUUGAUGCAGGCAGGAGUUUUAGCACUUAGAUUAAGGAAGGAUCAAAUCCUAUAUGAAGAAACUACUGGCUGCAUUAGGCAAAGAGAUGACAGACUGUCCACAGACCCUCUCCUGGGUAGGAAUCAAUUUUGCGAGGGUGUACUCUGCUAAACUCUUUGGCAGACAGGAGAAUAACUCCUCCAACAAUGUAGUCAACAAAACAAUGUCAUAGAGCACUCAUAGAAAUGACUUUUAGCUGCUGUUAAUUCUGCCAGUGCAGAUUCUUGCAAGACAGCUACUUUUUGAUGUAAUUACAUUUUCUACAUCUUGUUUACUCUGAAUAGAGUAGAUGUGUUU